rnacentral:rRNA from 1 species
CAGUCGAACGGAGCUUAGAGAGCUUGCUUUUUAAGCUUAGUGGCGAACGGGCGAUUAACGCGUGAGUAACCUGCCCUAGAGUGGGGGACAACAGUUGGAAACGACUGCUAAUACCGCAUAAGCCCACGGUACCGCAUGGCACUGAGGGAAAAGGAUUUAUUCGCUUUAGAAUGGACUCGCGUCCAAUUAGCUAGUUGGUGAGGUAACGGCCCACCAAGGCGACGAUUGGUAGCCGGACUGAGAGGUUGAACGGCCACAUUGGGACUGAGACACGGCCCAGACUCCUACGGGAGGCAGCAGUGGGGGAUAUUGCACAAUGGGGGAAACCCUGAUGCAGCGACGCCGCGUGGAGGAAGAAGGUUUUCGGAUUGUAAACUCCUGUCGUUAGGGACGAUAAUGACGGUACCUAACAAGAAAGCACCGGCUAACUACGUGCCAGCAGCCGCGGUAAAACGUAGGGUGCAAGCGUUGUCCGGAAUUACUGGGUGUAAAGGGAGCGCAGGCGGGAAGACAAGUUGGAAGUGAAAACCAUGGGCUCAACCCAUGAAUUGCUUUCAAAACUGUUUUUCUUGAGUAGUGCAGAGGUAGAUGGAAUUCCCGGUGUAGCGGUGGAAUGCGUAGAUAUCGGGAGGAACACCAGUGGCGAAGGCGGUCUACUGGGCACCAACUGACGCUG